ACCACUCACACACAACACACACACAGCCGCUCUCUCUCUCUGCUCUUGCUCUCUAUCUCUAGGGUUUCGACUUCCUCUCUCUCUCUCUUUCACAUGACGUCGCCGAUUCUCCCUCACCGCCGAUCCUCUUUCUCACCCCCGCUAGUGCCUUACUGUGGAUCAUCCUUCCUCACCGCCGCUGUUGGUUUGAACUUAGAGUUUCGCCUCCUUCUCUCUCUCUCACGCACGACGGCCGGUCGCCCCUCACCGCCACUCCUCCCUCGCCGGCGAUCCUCCCUCACCGCCGAUUUUAAAGGGGAUUGAUUUGAUUCAUUCAGAGAACUCUUUCUUAUUGCUUAUCAUUUUAUAUUCAGGUCAUAUCGAUGAGGAAAGUGGGUUAACUUUGAAAAAACUUGAUAAAAACUUAGAAAGAACUCUUCUGCACUGGUGUCGCAAGGAAUUCAAGUUGAAAGAGAUGAUGAAAAUUGUGAUGUGGUUGUAUGAGUAUUUGGACAAACGAUCUUGGUUUUUUAUCUCUUUUUUUUUUCAUGAUGGAUUUGGUUUGAUAUGUUGUAAUGGAUUUGUUUUUUUUUUUUUUAAUUUUAUUUUUUGAGUAGCCUAUCUCUUGCGGGCUGUGCUUGGGAGUAAUUAUUCUUUGUGCUUGUGAUGUGGUUGUUGAA